rnacentral:lncRNA from 1 species
AACUCAAUAAAUGUUAAUUUCUUUCUUUCCCCAGUGGCAGCCUAGUGGGAAGGAAAUGUUUCAGCUGGGAAAUCUUUAUUUGUGCUUCUCAAGUAAUACUAACAGUGCCUUGGGGAUGACUGGCUUAGAAUAACAACUCUGAAAACAAUAUUAGAAUGAAGGGAUUAGGAAUUGCUCUGAAGGAAGAAGUGGACAACCUUGGCAAGCAGCAUGGGAGGAGGGCAGUGUGGACACAUAGCUUGAUGUAGGCCAGCCAUGCCUAAGACUCUGUCAUCACAGAUUUGGAGAAAAAUACAUAUUGAAAUUUACCAUAUUCUCAUGCAGAUAACCCACUGGAGCUUCAGUUGGCGUAAUAAGGACGGAGGAGGGCAAAAUGGGGAGAAAGUCACACUUGAGAUUCUGCGAAUUAGCAGCAUGGCAGUCCUUUCCUGCUCCAUCACUAGUCAUCAGCCAUUCUCUCACCUUCUAGACCACUUGCACUAGAGCCAGACCCUCAGCCACUAGCUCCUGAACUAAAAGGAACAGACAGCAGAUUUACUCUCUUGGGUCCCCUGGGAACCAGCCCAUUCUCUCUAAGCCUACUGCCAAGAAGGAGGCUGAACUGUCCUCCAAAGGGAACGAGUGGGGACACAAUCAGCAAUGCCUCCCUCCCAAGAAGUCCUGCUGCUCAUAUUGUGCUCCCUCACCAUUUGGAUCUUGUCUUAUGCCUGUGGCCUCCAUGAGGAGGCAUGCAAUAGUUGUGGAGAUGCUACUUAAGA